UCAAAGGUUUUCUAGGGUUCCGCAGUGCGUCAUUGCUGGUCUGGUCCGAGAGAAAACUCACAGCAUGCUGUGUCACGGAAGGAUAAAAGCCUGGGAGAA
rnacentral:sRNA from 2 species